rnacentral:rRNA from 1 species
AUUGAACGCUGGCGGCAGGCUUAACACAUGCAAGUCGAACGAGUGGCGGACGGGUGAGUAAUGCAUGGGGAUCUGCCUGAUGGAGGGGGAUAACUACGGGAAACGGUGGCUAAUACCGCAUACCAUCGGAUGAACCCAUGUGGGAUUAGGUAGUGGGUGGGGUAAAGGCUCACCCAGCCGACGAUCUCUAGCUGGUCUGAGAGGAUGACCAGCCACACUGGGACUGAGACACGGCCCAGACUCCUACGGGAGGCAGCAGUGGGGAAUAUUGCGCAAUGGGGGCAAUCCUGACGCAGCCAUGCCGCGUGAAUGAAGAAGGCCUUCGGGUUGUAAAGUUCUUUCGGUGGCGAGGCGUUAACCACAGAAGAAGCACCGGCUAACUCCGUGCCAGCAGCCGCGGUAAUAC